CAGCAGCCGCGGGAAUACGUAGGUGGCAAGCGUUGUCCGGAAUUAUUGGGCGUAAAGGGCUCGCAGGCGGUUUCUUAAGUCUGAUGUGAAAGCCCCCGGCUCAACCGGGGAGGGUCAUUGGAAACUGGGAAACUUGAGUGCAGAAGAGGAGAGUGGAAUUCCACGUGUAGCGGUGAAAUGCGCAGAGAUGUGGAGGAACACCAGUGGCGAAGGCGACUCUCUGGUCUGUAACUGACGCUGAGGAGCGAAAGCGUGGGGAGCGAACAGGAUUAGAUACCCCGGUAGUCCCUGUCUCUACACA
rnacentral:rRNA from 1 species